rnacentral:lncRNA from 1 species
CUUCUCUAGCAAGGGAACAAAGAAGAGAAGGGGUGGAUAAAAUGAUUCUUUCAUUUUUAAAAAAUCAUGUCCCUGGGCUCUUUAAAGCAAAAGUGAGGCCUUCUUUGAAGCAAGACAAUGAUCCCCAGAUUGCUGGUGAGAGACGGACAAGCACUCCAUGCUCAGGUGUGACUUCUCGGGAGUCUGCUUUCUUCUGAGAAGAGGAGGAGGAGGAGACGGAGAAAAAUGGCCCUUUCGUUUCUAAAGGUGAUAUCACAGGUGAAUUGUUUACUUCUUAUUUCCUUCCUAAAAUAUGAAUUUACAGGGCCUAAAAACAUUUUGCUG